ensembl:lncRNA DIP2C-AS1 DIP2C antisense RNA 1
AACACAUCAAAACGGAAAAGGAAAUGUAAGCAGUGUUUGCCGUCCAAAGUUCACAUCAACAAUUCCUUAUUAGGAAGGCAAUUCUGAGCCUUUCCUCCUGCAUCUGGGAGCUGCCAGCAACCCAGUUCCAGGAGAGAAAAUAGCUUGACACCUCCUGCGGCCCAUGGAGUCCUCCCGUUGGGACAAGGACCCCCCAGGAGAGAGAAGACCCCAGCAGAGUCAACACUGGAGGGCCAGGGACCAUGGUGCCCGGGGCUGUGGACCACGCCAGCCCACAGCCACUGCAAGCCCCAGACCGGGGCUGUGGAUAACGCCAGCCCACGGCAGCCACACGCCCCAGACCAACACGAGAAGAACGCAGGCCGACAACAUCUUCAUCUAUGAAUCCUGGCUGAUCCACCAUGGAACCCAGAUGUCCUCAGUUCUGCCUCAGCCCCCACUUGUGAGAGGUCCGUGGCAUAACACAAACUCCCCCUGGGAUUCGUGGGCCUCACGGGGGAAGCUGAGGGUGUGUCCAUGCAGGACCCCGAGGCUACACAGCUCUGGCUGUUUCUCUUCCAAAGCCGGCACUGCCCUCUCUCCAUCUCUCCCGGUGCCAGGGCUCAGGCCCCAGCCCCCGUUUCUGCAGAAGCCCCUUUCCAUCCUAGCCCCUGCCACCCCUCCUGCUCUUGUCUCUCCCACACCUCCCAAACUCUCUCCUGGCCAGCUCUCGCCACACUCAGUCAAUGUCCACUGGGGGCCUCAGGGGCACCUCCACCUGCCCAGGUCUGGGACCACCGUCCUCCACGCAUAUCUACAGACCCUGUCCUCACCUGCAUCACACCAAUGAUGGCGUCACAGCGUGGGUUCCGGUCACCAGUCGGCCUCCCCCACCAACGUGGACUCCUUACAAGCAGAGCCACCAACGUGGACACGAUCCCAUCAGGAACCACCUACUUUUGCAUCCCCAGCACUGUGCUCAGGUCCCAGGGAGGCCCCAGCAAACUGUGGAACAACCAAACUCGUGACUGAAUGAACAAGUAUGUUAAGUCGUUAAGUAAAAAUAGCAGAAGACUUAGUAGAAUGUAUGAGUAACAAUUACAAUUAUAUGAAAAUCCGUAUCCACGUGAAGGUAUUAUGCAAAAAAAGCUUAACUUUGUUUCAGUGCCUUUCCAGUUAAAUGUUGUUAAGCAGUAUUUCCCCCAAAAGGUGCAUCUUUUAUAAAACAAGAACGCAAGGCUCUGAGGCCAACUUUGAACAUUUAUUUGAGUGAAUUCACGUCCCCCAAAUUUUCCGUAUCCCAAAAUCUGGACUUUUGCUAAAUGGUGCCCUUAGCACAGGAGUCUCUCCAAGGAAGUGGCCUGAGCUGAGAGGGGGCCUGGCAUCGCCCACCCAGGUCAUCAGUCAUCAUCAGCAGCAGCUGCGGCAUGAGAGAGAUGGUGUGGGGCGAAACCAAUGGGGAAACUACAAAAGAAACCACCUGCUACUGCAAACGGCCUCGCUGUACUCAGGGAGUCGGUUCCAGGACCCCAUGGACACCAAAUCCAGGCACACUCACGCCCCACAAGUGGACCUGCCGAACCUGCGUGUACAGAGUCGGCCCUCCGACACACGUUUCACAUGGCAGGAACACUGUAUUUUCUCCCUGAGUUUGGUUGAAAAAAUUCACAUAUAAGUUGACCCACAAAGCUCAAGCUUGUGUGGUACAAGAGUCAACUGUAUGCAAUUGACACUGAUUCCUACCAACGAUAUCCAAAUCUUAGCAUGAGCAGCACGAUAAACAGAAUGAGCAAAAUUCAAAAACUAAAGCAGCGUUUUUCCUGCAAGUGGGCGCACUGCGUAUCCCCUGCGGGAAAGACCACGCUGGCUGCUGACCAAACUCCACUGGCAUCUUCCUCCAUCCUGAGGGCAUCUUCCUCGGCAUCUUCCUCCAUCGACAGCAGCCUGGGCUCACCUCCCAGCCCGAGGCUGAGAACUGAGUUCCAGUCCCGGGGUGGGGUGGCGGGGGGGCGCACUGUGCACCCUCCCAGCUCUCCUCCACCCCUUCCCUCAGGCUGGCCCAAGAAUAGCCUGGACAAUCACCUGCUGGGGACACCGGGCUGCCCCUCCUCCGCCCACAGCCUCAGGCCACCUGUCUCAUCCGUGACCGAGAAACGGAGCUGCAGUGGGAGGCGGGACAUGCUGGGAUCUACCCAUGGCCAGGCCAAGCUGCGCCAAUCACUCAAGCUUCACUUUGAUCACUUGCUCUACCAAAUAAAACAGAACAAAAUAA